ACACUUGCAGGCUCUUCCUGUGAGCAUAAAGCUGGCUACCUCAUGAGAAUCACCUUAUGCUGCACUUCCCAGAGAGUUCCUUAGGACACCAGAACUGAAGUCAACGGGAAUUUUGGAGGUGUGAAGAGCUACUCAGAAGAAGCAAGGAUUUUCCAGCUCUCACUCUUCUCUUCCAAGAAGGCCAGCAAAAAUGAUUUCUGAGGCCAUAGAGGCUAUGUAAAAUGUCUGGAUGACAAAGUAAUGAACACUCUUUGUGACUGGAGACAGCACGAGUAUUUAUUGCUAAGCAACAAAGACUGAUGUCAACGAGUUUUGCCAAAUGCAGAUGGGAAGAGGAAGGACUCCUCCAAGUCAGCUCUGCAGACACUGCCAUCAGCAGCCUUGGGCUGUGAAGUGACAGAAGUUCCUCAGCCUGAGCCUCCAUGUCCGAAAUCCUGGACAACUUCUGCAGCCACAGGGCUCCUUGCAAUAUGUGAGUUUCUCACCCAGUACGCCCACUGAGCUCUCUGGCUUCAGAUCCAGUUGACUACAGGAGAGCUGCAGGGAGAAUGAACACCCAGCAUGAGGCAAAUUGUUUGCACCCAAGCACUUACAUUGUCCCUUUCCACACAGGGUGUCCUAUGAAGCAUAAACCUCCUCUUAAAUAAGUUAAUUACAGCAAGCAUAGAGGGCCAAACAGACACCAUGAGUAUCUUACUCUACCUUUCUUCCAAAUCAUAUUCUCCUAUGAUUCAAAACUUACAUCUCUUGCAUCUCAUUUAUUAUACGGGAUAUUAAAUUAAUUCUCACACACAGGAGAGUAUUAUCUAACAUUUUACACAUAGUUUGGUCCUUAAUUUUGAUCACAGACAGCUUUGAAUUAGAAUAUCAAAGGACCUUAAAAGCUUCGUGGAACAUAGAUAUUUCUUGUCACUGUGGUUUGAUUUCUGAAAUAAUAGACUUCAUUUUAAUUUUGUCGAAAGAUCAUUAAAAGGCAAACUCUUCAGUCCUUGGAAAAACUUUUUACUGUUAUCUUAAACAUUAGCAAUCAAGAGGCAAGUUGAAAUGAAUAACAAAUCCCAACUUAAUAGCUUUCAUAAGUUUAUCCAAACUUGGUAUGCAAUAAAGAUCUUUUAAAUUGCAUCUAUCUAUAAUUUUCCUUGCAGUCUGAAUUAUGCCAUAUAUUAGGCAACUCUUGUCUAAUCAGAUCUCUCUGUAUUUGUGUGAUAAUACUGCCCUGCAGGUAUUGAUCUCUAAGUAGAUACUAUGUCUUUUUUUCAACCAAAAGCACAUGUAGCAAAGGCCCUUUGAAAAUCAAAUUUUCCUCUUGGAUUAAAGCGAAGUCUGGAAAAUUCCACCAAGCUUAAAGAGUCAAUUGCAGAGCAUAUCUUCCUUAUGUAUUGAUUGACAACAGUGUUGAUAUGUUGCAAUACCCUUAUAAUAACCAAAUAUAUAUGAAAAAUAUUUAAAUAUUAUGAACUAUUAAAGCCCUGAUGCUGAUUUCUUGUAUGUAAUUUUUGGCUGUCAGCUGGUAUUGUCAGAAUGCUGUGAAAUGAUAUAUUUCUUCCAUGAAGAUGGAAAAGUAUAAAAUCUCAUUUUACUCUGAUUCAUCUUGUCCAAGAUAUGUGUUACCCCAUAUCACAUUAAUGAGGGGGCUACAGUGCACACCAUAGUGUUAUGAUAUGUAAAUAAAUUUCUCUUG
rnacentral:lncRNA from 7 species